AGCAGCCGCGGUAAUUCCAGCUCCAAUAGCGUAUAUUAAAGUUGUUGCAGUUAAAAAGCUCGUAGUUGAAUUUCGGGAUCAAGUCGUCGGUCGUGCUCAGGUACGUACUGGCGUCAUUGAUUUCUCCCUUCUGACGAACCAUGAUGUCAUUAAUUUGGUGUCAUGGGAAAUCAGGACUGUUACUUUGAAAAAAUUAGAGUGUUUAAAGCAGGCUCACGCUUGAAUACAUUAGCACGGAAUAAUGAAAUAGGACGUUCGAUCCUAUUUUGUUGGUUUUUAGGAUCAACGUAAUGAUUAAUAGGGAUAGUUGGGGGCAUUAGUAUUCAAUUGUCAGAGGUGAAAUUCUUGGAUUUAUUGAAGACUAACUACUGCGAAAGCAUUUGCCAAGGAUGUUUUCAUUAAUCAAGAACGAAAGUUAGGGGAUCGAAGACGAUCAGAUACCGUCGUAGUCUUAACCAUAAACUAUGCCGACUAGGGAUCGGAUGAUGUUAAUUUUUUAAUGACUCAUUCGGCGCCUUAC
rnacentral:misc_RNA from 2 species